UACGUAGGGUGCAGGCGUUAAUCGGAAUUACUGGGCGUAAAGCGUGCGCAGGCGGUUUGCUAAGACAGGUGUGAAAUCCCCGGGCUUAACCUGGGAACUGCGCUUGUAACUGGCAAGCUAGAGUGUGGCAGAGGGGGGUGGAAUUCCACGUGUAGCAGUGAAAUGCGUAGAUAUCAAGAGGAACACCUGAGGUGAAGACGGGUUGCUGGGCUGACACGUGACGCUGGAGGCGCGAAAGCCAGGGGAGCAAACGGG
rnacentral:rRNA from 1 species